CCGUGCUAGACGGGGAGUCAGCGGUGCCCUGUACCCGCAAUCCGCUAUAGCGGGGUUGAAUUCCCGACCUGAGGUCUUGGCUUUUUCAGCGAGAAAGCUCAAUAAGUGAUGGUGAUCUUCGGGUCCUACGCGACGAAAUCUUCCGAACCGGGUCAGGCCGUGACUGGAGCAGCCCUAAGGAAUGUUUUUCGGGUGCCGUGGGAGUGCCUGGAGGGAGUUAACUGCGAGCUGUAUCAUGAGGGAGUGAUUAUCGAUGGUUGGGUGCACGG
rnacentral:SRP_RNA from 1 species